rnacentral:rRNA from 1 species
CUCCUUUGACGUUAGCGGCGGACGGGUGAGUAACACGUGGGUAACCUACCUAUAAGACUGGGAUAACUUCGGGAAACCGGAGCUAAUACCGGAUAAUAUUUCGAACCGCAUGGUUCGAUAGUGAAAGAUGGUUUUGCUAUCACUUAUAGAUGGACCUGCGCCGUAUUAGCUAGUUGGUAAGGUAACGGCUUACCAAGGCGACGAUACGUAGCCGACCUGAGAGGGUGGUCGGCCACACUGGAACUGAGACACGGUCCAGACUCCUACGGGAGGCAGCAGGU